CUGGGAGGGUUUAUAUGUUAAGCUCUGUCAGUAAUUUCUCCCCUAGCAAGAAUGAGGAAGAUGAAGAGCUCGGGUAUCUGAGGGCUGGUGUGUCUGCAUGCGUGUGUGUUUUGGGGGCCGACUGAAGGAAGAGAAGGCUGGAGAGAGGGAACAUGGGUCUGAGGGCACAUCGCUAAGGGGUCAAGAGGCCUAAAGGAGGAGUCUAAGGCUCUCCAUCGAACUUGGACUUGGUCUACAUUAGACUUUAACCUCCAUGAGGCUUGGACUUUCAGGCUUCCUCCCUCACACCGCGGGCAGGUGAGGCGUCUGCUACAGGCCUGGUCUCGCAGAGGGGGCCCAGCGCCCCCCGCCGCCGCCUUCUCCUGGAGUCUGUGUGACAGAAUGGGACCUGUGGGAAAGCAGCACGUCAGCACCCAGCCCCGCUUGCGCGCCAGCAGCUAAUUAAAGCCAGGAAGGUGAUGGCGAUUUUCAACUCAUUCCCGUUACAAACAGCCGACCUUCCUACCGAGUUCAAGUACCUUCUGCCUGGCCUGGAAGAACAAUAUCUCUCUGUCUCCCUCUUCCACUGGCCCUCACCUGCCUUCCCCUGAACAUGCAUUUUGCCUGACAGGAGACAGAGGCAGUUGGUAAGUAUACUACGCUGGCUUAGUGCUUUCCAGAAGGGAGGUGGCGUGAAAGACCCCAGUGCUCAAGUGUUCACGACGGACUCACACAGGCUGGAGACAGACGCCUCCAUCCUCCUGCACACAGUCCUGUGCCUGCUUCUGCAGUGACUCCCUCUCCCUCUGUGGAAACACAUGAGGAAUACAGGAAUAAGGGUUAUCUUCUACUGAAGCCUGCCUAGUGUUUAUUACAGAGAUGGAGUCUUGCUAUAUGGCCCAGCUGGUAAUGCCUAGAUUCUUGAGUCCCUCCCUGGCUCAUCCCUGGGAGCAGCACUGAACCCCUUGUCUGACACCUGUCUGGAAAUGGAGCCUGCACAUUGACCCUAGAGAUGCUUGCAGCUUGGUCCAGGAGGCCAGCAGGACCAGAGAGAAGACCACAGCGACACAUGGGGAUGGCUGUCCCACAGGCAGAAAUGAGCAGCCGGGAGGAAGCCCAGGCAGCCAGCCACCCAGCUCCCUCCACAUCGUGGCCCUAGAACGGAGUCUUGAAGAAUAAGAAGCCACAGCUUGUCAGGGAAUCAGGCUGGAAAAAUGUUAUGAGACUGAGUAAGACCAGAGCUAAAUUUCAUUUGGUCUAUUUUGGACCAAGAGCCCAGUUUGCCGAAUUGAUCUUCUAAUUAAAAUUUAUUCCCUAUUUACAGUUUCUGGGUCAUUGGUGAGACUGGAUUUCAUAGAAGAGUCUUUGCUACAGCAAAACCUCUCUUCAAGCAAUACACUAUUCAAGCUGCUGGAGGCUAGAUUGACCAGAAAAAUGGGGCCAAUAUCAUGCCAGGGUGUACCAGGGAGGUAAUUCAUAUUAAUUAUGUUUGGAUUAAAAGCUUAUUUCUUUUGUUAGCAUCUGCAAGUAGAAACUUAGCUGUUAAAAAAAAAUCCGCAUAUAAUUACAGCCUCUUAUGGAGGAGCAGUGUUGAACUUAAUGGAGCAUCUCUGCACUCUUCAAGCUGCUGGAGAAUGAUUCCUCAGCAGUGCCUGGAGAAGACCAGGAGAGGAAGCAGAAGACCCUCCUCAAAGAAGCAGCCUUCACCUCCAGACCUCCCAGCGGGACUUAGACAAUGGGGUUAGGCAGUCACAUGUCUGCACGUGGAAACUUUCUGGGACUGUGCUUGGAUCCUGGCUCUGCCUUUUACUAGCCAUGUGACCUUGGGAAAAUCACUUGACUUCUCCGUGCAGGAUUCCUCAUCUGUAAAAAUGGUCUAAGAUUAGGAGCCACCUCAAGGUUGUUGUAGGAAUUAAAUUAAUUCAUGUUUAUAAAGUGCUUUGAACAGCGUUUGGCACAUGGUAAGUGCUAUGUGGUAAGUGCUGUCUAUUGAUUACAUAAAUAAAAGUGAUCACCAUUAGACUUUCCAUGCAGAUGAUAUUAUGCAUAUACAUAUCUCCCGCAUAUGACGUCAUUGGAUCGUUUUGCAAUGGUGGGGGGUUUAUUCUUUUCCUUUUUGUUUUCUUCUUUUUUUUGUCAGAUGAAGAAACUGAUGGGAAGUGAAUUGGUUUGUAUUAAACAUUAGGUUUGCUAGGUCUCUCACAUAUUUAUUUAGUCCUCAUAACAAUUGUAUAAAAUAAAUAUUAUUUAUUCAUUUAUUUAUUUGUAAAGAUGGGUCUCGCUAUGUUGCCCAGGCUGGUCUUGAACUCCCGGGCUCAAGUGAUCCUCCUGCCUUGGACUUCCAAAAUAUUGG
rnacentral:lncRNA from 10 species